AUUCAUCUAUGAAGGCCUAUUCAGGCUAGAAAACUUGUAGGAAGCAUAAGAAAGUGCACCAAGAUCCCAGCUGUGGUGAAUAAGCUCUCCAUUCGUGCCUUCACCAGAAGCACCUAGCGCAACAUGUAAUGGAUAGAUGUGCUCGGGCCAUGGAUGUGCAACUUUUGCAUGCGGAGCCUUCAUGUCAUAGUUAUUAACAUCUUGAUGCCUACAAAAAGAUGGCUACUACGUAAGCUGAAAAUAUGGAAGUUACCAGUAGGCUUAUUAUAAUGCCUAUCAUCUCACAGACAAGCACAAAAACGUAAUUUUAAAAGAGAAAGAUGAAAUAUAGUACACAUCAUUUAACGAGAUAGAUCAAGACUGUUUCCAUAAUCACAUUUCUGAAGUAUUGCAAAUAUGCAUAACAGAUGGGAGUGUAUUAAACAUAAAACAACAUAUAAGCACAAAAAUGAACAAAAUUACUCCGGUUUAAGCAGAGAAUACACAUCUUAUUUACUUGAGAAUUCUUACGCUUUUAACCAUGAACUAAUACCAACAAAAAGUUAAAAAAGGAAAGAAUAACGGAGCAAAAGAAAAGGACAGGAUGAGCAAGGAUAGUAGGAAGAAUAACUAAAGCAUGUCGCUAACACAAUGGAAUAAGUGUAAUCUGAUUAUCUCCUUUGCACAUUCCAAAUUGAUGUACAAUAAGAUUCAUAUUCCUUCACUUUCACAAUUAACAUUUUAAGUUCUUACACGAGAAUUUUGAAAAUGUUGACUCAAUCAGACACAUAUGAAUUAAUUCAAGCACAGUAUUCCCUCUCUUGAGCUCAACACAGAACAGUAUAAAAAAAUAUACACAGCAUUUGAAAUAUGAUAGUUUUGGCUGUGACGCAAGAUUUCCAAUGGUUUCUUUUAUUAGACACAAUAUCUAGAACAAGUAUAUAUAUUUUUUGAUAGCCCUAGAGCAAGUAUAUAUCUAAAGGCGCCAUCAUUUUAACAAGCAUUUGCAUUGACUUUAAUUUGAGUCUCUGUGACUAAUGAUGUGGUCAAAUACAGUGCUUCAAUGCCAACUAAAUGCGGAUACACACACAAAAAAUAUGCAACUUAUGAUAUCAGAUGUUACUUUGGAGCAAUUUCCUGACAUAUAUUAGCAUGUUGACAUAUAGUGCAAGAACACAUCAACCAUGUCGAUCAACAUUAGAUAUGUAUGUGAUUACAUUCAGCUCUAUAAGUUCAGACUUGAAAUAAAUGAGCUUUUCAAAAAACUCAGUCCUUGAUUCACCAGUUAAGCAUGCAAGUAAGUGGAUUAUAAGAAUGUACCUUCCACUGAGAAGGGCGUCUUUAAGCCAAUUGUCAAACUCUAAAGCCCAAGAAACAACACUUUUGGAUGAACCGAGAGCCCUUAGGUUGUGAGUGGCAGAUCCAGAACCAAUUAUGAGGACGCCUUCAUCCUUGAGGGAGGCCAAUGCUCUUCCCAUGUUGUAGUGAUAAGUACCAUCCCUAUUGGGCUGGACCGAGAGCUGGCAGACUGGAAUAUCUGCUUCCGGGUACAUGAGCAUGAGAGGGACCCACGCACCAUGGUCCAAACCACGUUUUUUGUCUUCG
rnacentral:lncRNA from 1 species